GAUGAACGCUGACAGAAUGCUUAACACAUGCAAGUCUUUGGCGAAGCUGUGCUUGCACAGCCUAGCCAAGGCGGACGGGUGAGUAACGCGUAAGGAACUUGCCCUGCAGUCAGGGAUAACAGACGGAAACGACUGAUAAGACCUGGUAAAGUCAGGCGGACUCAUGUCCAGCCUGAUGAAAAGUGAUGCUGCAGGAGAGCCUUGCGUCCUAUUAGCUUGUUGGUGGGGUAACGGCCCACCAAGGCGAUGAUAGGUAGCCGGCCUGAGAGGGUGGACGGCCACAAGGGGACUGAGAUACGGCCCUUACUCCUACGGGAGGCAGCAGUGGGGAAUAUUGGACAAUGGGGGCAACCCUGAUCCAGCAAUUCUGUGUGCACGAUGAAGGUUUUCGGAUUGUAAAGUGCUUUCAACAGGGAAGAAAAAAAUGACGGUGCCUGCAGAAGAAGCGACGGCUAAAUACGUG
rnacentral:rRNA from 1 species